GGUGAGCCCCGGUGGGAGGACCCAGCCUGACCCCAGCAAGCUCUGCGCUUCUUCCUCCCUAACAUCUCUUGCCGAUCCUCACAACAAAAGUCCUUUUAAUCACCUGGGCAACGGUUCAUGGAACACUGAAUGUAAAAAGCCAAGACUUGAACCAAGGCCAUCUUCCUCCAGGUACCUCUAAAUAUAUGAUUUCCAGUGGACAAGGAUGUGGUUUUCAGCAGUUGUCUAUAUUCAGACAAAGAGUCAAAUUUGGGCAAUUCAGUAAAACCACUGGUUAGGAAAAGUGGAAGCAAAUUGCAUCAAUUCUACAGCCCAACAGAGGGAUGGGAAG
rnacentral:lncRNA from 1 species